rnacentral:misc_RNA from 1 species
GAACGCAUCUUGCGCUCCUUGGUAUUCCGAGGAGCAUGCCUGUUUGAGUGUCAUUUUGAACUAUCAAAGCCCCACGUUUUGACGUGGCUUUGGACUUGAGGGCUUUUGCAGGCUUUUGAUCAGAAAGCCUGCUCCCUUGAAAAUCAUCAGUGGUAUCUGGAGCGGAAACCGCUAGGUGUUGAUAACAUUCAUCUAUGCCUUUGGGUAUGCCGCGUAAAAUGUGCUGCUUCCAACGCCCCAUGCUCUUUGACAAACUUGACCUCAAAUCAGGUAGGACUACCCGCUGAACUUAAG